rnacentral:rRNA from 1 species
CCGUAACUAUAACGGUCCUAAGGUAGCGAAAUUCCUUGUCGGGUAAGUUCCGACCUGCACGAAAGGCGCAACGACUUGGGCGCUGUCUCGACCAUGGACCCGGUGAAAUUGCACUGGUCGUGAAGAUGCGACUUACCCGCGGAAGGACGGAAAGACCCCGUGAACCUUCACUGCAGCUUGGCAUUGGCCGCUGGUCCCGCGUGUAGAGGAUAGGCAGGAGGCACAGAUCCGGAGGCGCCAGCCCCCGGGGAGCCGCCCUUGGAAUACUGCCCUCGCGCGACCGGCGUCCUAACCCGAGGCCGUCAACCGGCUCGGGGACCGUGCCAGGCGGGCAGUUUGACUGGGGCGGUCGCCUCCUAAAGGGUAACGGAGGCGCGCGAAGGUCCGCUCGGGACGGUCGGCAACCGUCCUUUUGAAUGCAAGAGUACAAGCGGGCUUGACUGCGAGGCCCACAAGCCGAGCAGGUGCGAAAGCAGGCUCUAGUGAUCCGGCGGCCCCGAGUGGGUGGGCCGUCGCUCAACGGAUAAAAGGUACUCCGGGGAUAACAGGCUGAUCUUGCCCAAGAGUCCACAUCGACGGCAAGGUUUGGCACCUCGAUGUCGGCUCAUCGCAUCCUGGGGCUGAAGUAGGUCCCAAGGGUUGGGCUGUUCGCCCAUUAAAGCGGUACGCGAGCUGGGUUCAGAACGUCGUGAGACAGUUCGGUCCCUAUCCUCCGUGGGCGCAGGAGAAUCGAUGGAGGCUGCCCCCAGUACGAGAGGACCGGGGUGGACGCACCUCCGGUGAACCGGUUGUCGACCAACGGCACGGCCGGGUAGCCGCGUGCGGCGCGGAUAACCGCUGAAGGCAUCUAAGCGGGAAGCCGUUCCAGGGAUUAGUUCUCCUUCCGGUAAGGGCCCAGGUAGACUACCUGGUCGAUAGACGGCAGGUGCAAGGACGGCGACGUCCUCAGCCGAGCCGCACUAAUCGCCCGAGCUCUUCCGGAA